rnacentral:misc_RNA from 1 species
AAUCCUCAGCUCAAUAGACUUUUAUUACUUUGACCAUAUUUUUAUCUUCCAUCUCUAUUUUGCCAAUUUAUUUAUACAACAUAAAAUAAUAUAUAUCUUUGUUUAAUACAUGUCAAUAUAUAUUUUAUUUUUUAUGUUAUUUAAACAACACAUUCAAAAACACCAAUAUUUAAAAAACAUAAAAAUAAAAUCAAAGUUUAAAGUAUAAAAAUAAAAACCCUGGCAAUAACCUACUCUCCCGCGAACUCGCAGUACCAUCAGCGAAUAAGAGCU